CUUAAGUGGGGAAUAACGCAUCGAAAGGUGUGCUAAUACCGCAUAAUCUCUGAGGAGAAAAGCAGGGGAUCGCAAGACCUUGCGCUUUUGGAGCGGCCGAUGUCUGAUUAGCUUGUUGGUGAGGUAAAGGCUUACCAAGGCUUCGAUCAGUAGCUGGUCUGAGAGGACGGCCAGCCACACUGGGACUGAGACACGGCCCAGACUCCUACGGGAGGCAGCAGUGGGGAAUUUUGGACAAUGGGGGCAACCCUGAUCCAGCCAUGCCGCGUGAGUGAAGAAGGCCUUCGGGUUGUAAAGCUCUUUCAGCCGGAACGAAACGGUUACGGUUAAUACCCGUAACUACUGACGGUACCGGAAGAAGAAGCACCGGCUAACUACGUGCCAGCAGCCGCGGUAAUACGUAGGGUGCGAGCGUUAAUCGGAAUUACUGGGCGUAAAGCGUGCGCAGGUGGUUUUGUAAGUCAGAUGUGAAAUCCCCGGGCUUAACCUGGGAACUGCGUUUGAAACUACAAGGCUAGAGUGUGGCAGAGGGGGGUGGAAUUCCGCGUGUAGCAGUGAAAUGCGUAGAGAUGUGGAGGAACACCGAUGGCGAAAGCAGCCCCCUGGGUCAACACUGACGCUCAGGCACGAAAGCAUGGGGAGCAAACAGGAUUAGAUACCCUGGUAGCCCAUGCCCUAAACGAUGUCAACUAGUUGUCGGGUCUUAACGGGCUUGGUAACGUAGCUAACGCGUGAAGUUGACCGCCUGGGGAGUACGAUCGCAAGAUUAAAACUCAAAGGAAUUGACGGGAACCCGCACAAGCGGUGGAUUAUGUGGAUUAAUUCGAUGCAACGCGAAAAACCUUACCUACCCUUGACAUGUAUUGGAGCCCGCAGAGAUGUGGGUGUGCCCGAAAGGGAACGAUAACACAGGUGCUGCAUGGCUGUCGUCAGCUCGUGUCGUGAGAUGUUGGGUUAAGUCCCGCAACGAGCGCAACCCUUGUCAUUAAUUGCCAUCAUUUAGUUGGGCACUUUAAUGAGACUGCCGGUGACAAACCGGAGGAAGGUGGGGAUGACGUCAAGUCCUCAUGGCCCUUAUGGGUAGGGCUUCACACGUAA
rnacentral:rRNA from 1 species